GUAGAGGUUCCCAUUAAAGUUUUAGGUUAAUACGAGAGUUUUCAAUGGGCUCUGAAACAUCCUAACAGGCUGUCACAGCCCAGCCAUUCUAGCCGUGUGCUGUGCUCAUGGAGUCCCCGAUGCAAGUGUGACCACACCGCUGUAGAACUGUGCCAUGGCUGGUGCAGGGAACCCUCCAUGAUGCCCUAACCUUUCCUGCCUGACCUGUCUUCCCCAGCCAUCACAUACUGUAGUCACCUGUUUUCUCUCCAUGUGACCCAGCAGACGAGGUCCCUAAAGAGGGAUAUUACCUUACCCAGCUUCCCUUGUUGAAACUUGGACAGGCUAGCAUAGCAGUCAGCAUUGCCACCCCCAGAUCCUGAUGUGCAGGUGAGGGCCCGGAGCCUGAGUUCCAUUCAAAGGCUGCCUGUCCCCAGCAGUUAGGAGACUGGGUAGGGACAGCUGACAAGGGCUGGAACCCCACAGUGUCUGUUAACCUUCAUUUUCUGACCCCUUCCUUCCUUCGUUCCUUCUUUCUUCCCUCCCUCCGGCUCUCCCUCCCUCCCUCCCUCCCUCCCUCCCUCCCUUCCUUCCUUCCUUUUAUUUUCAGGCUGAGUCCAGUCAGCCACGGAAACACAAUCGCCCUCUUCUUCCGGUCAUUAUUGCCAAAUUACACCACAGAGGUAUGUUGAUUGAGCACAUUGGUCUUCCCCUCCCAAGUUAACAUGGGUGAUCCCGCUCAGGGGAGGCGAGGCGGCUGAGGCUGUCCUGCCUGUGUGCCUGUGGCAUCAUGCUUGCCAGUGGGGACUCUGCCUGCUGGAAUCGCAUAGCCAUUCUGAGGUGAGUGGUGUGAGAGGCGCUCGGCAUCAUGGUAGGUCGGCUUUGGCUAAGUGAGUGCAUCUGGCUUUCUUUCUAGAGCUGCUUCUUCUGAGCAGGGACUUUGGGAGGGGACAGGCUCAGUCCUAGGGCCUGAGUUGCCUCAGCCGCUGAACCCAGGGUCCCAAGUCUAUCCACACAGUCCCCACUUAGAUAUGUCUCAUUGUUCAGGGGGAGAGGCUGGAGGAAGGAGUGGCCGGGGGUCCGAACCGCAAUCAAGGCUUGAACAGGCUGAUGUUGGCCGUGCGUGACAUGAUGGCCAACUUCCACUUCAACGACCUGGAGGUGCCUCGGGAGGACAAUCCUGAGGGCGAGGGGGACUGGGACUGAACUGUUCAGACACUGUGCCCAGAGCUGUGCAAUCAUGUUCCUGAUUUCGUUUCUGGUUGGAGUUAACCAGUUCCCAAGUAGAAAUGCUGACCAUGCCAUCACGUGUGUUUUUUUCUCCCUCUAAAUGGAGUGGGUUAUGCUCUGUGAGUGAGCGUCCUCCAGUGUCCUCGGAAAUAGCCCCAGAAGCCGUGAGCCCCACACUGAAUGAACCAUGUGCCUCACACUUUGGAGUUGGUAACAUGGUGCAGAGAAGGGUUUUCCCCGAGUCCGCAGUACCAGGACCCUACCUGCUCCUUGCUAAGGGCACUGAACCUUCACACAUGCUACACCCAGCAUGUUGGCAGUGCUGGGGUCAAACCCAGGGCCUGGCACACAAUCUACCACUGAAUGACAGUCCCAGCCUGAGGAUCUUACUAGAAAACUUGGAGGGCUGGAAAUGUGUCUCAGCUAGUAGACUGUUUGCUUCGUGUGCACAACCCUUAGGAUUCGAUCUCCAGCACAGCACAAACCAGCAGUGUGAGUGUUCAUGUGUACUCAGCACCCAAGCACAGAGCGCAAGAGGAUUAAGAGUUCAGAACCAUCCUCUGCUAUAGUGAGCUCAGAGCCGGUCUUAGUUCCAUGAGAUCCCAUCUCAACAAAGGGUUGGGGCAUGAGGGGCCUAGGAUAGGAAGAGAAGUAAAAAAAAAAAAAAAAAAAAAAGUUUGAAGCAGGAAAUUGUCCUAAGCAGGUAAGAAAUACUUUACAGAGAUUAAAGGGUGUUUGAUCUAGGGAUGAGUGGAGAACCCUGACCAAGAACCCCAGUCCAGGGACGGACGAAGACUACAGCCAGGCAAGGCCUGAGGCCCGUGUCUCAUAAGCCAUCUGUCUGUGGAAAGAUCCAGGCUGCCGAGGUUACAGGCUGUCAGGUCUCUCUAGGCAGUGCUGAGGGUUUGCACCCCAGCAGAGGCUGGAGGAGGCACCCAUGGGCUCUUGUCUGGGAGCAGGGUCUUAGCUGUGUGAGGGCCAGUGAGGGCUCCUAAGCCUUGGUCCAAUGAUGCCUUCCUGGGAGUCUACAUGUUUCCGAUAUCACUGGAUGAUUUACUAUGGAGUAGGAACAAAUAAAGCAUGAUUUAGGAGUGUCCUG
rnacentral:lncRNA from 1 species